rnacentral:lncRNA from 1 species
AUCCUGGGUUCAGCUUUCCCUGUGAGAAGGACACAUAUAACAAUAAGAAAUUAAGGGCUCGGGAAGGAGAGGGGCCACCCUGUGCUCACCCCCACACAGCCCUGCAGGAAAACCCAGUGAACGGUGCCCAGGUGCCUGGCUGACUCCUGGGCCGGGAGGGGACAUGGAGGGACAGUGGCCAUCAGGCUCUUUGUGGACACUGGGGAUUAACUACUGCUCGUUCUCAGCUCACUGGUGUCCAGCCCAUCAAUAACCUCAUCAAUAACCUAACUUUGGUCAAUUAGGUUGGAGUCCGGAGGUGACUGAUUUGCUGGCAAGGUUUUCUCUCUUCCUCUGUAAAGUGGAGUCCUUCAUCAUUCAUCGCAAGUAGACAACUGGCUUCCUAAUGCCUCUGCAUCAAGGAGCCAGGCGCUGCAGCUCUUCGGUGCGUGAUCUCAAAUAGAUUCAUGCGUUCUUCUGCUGACACGGUGGCAGAGAGGGAAGGGUCCCGCCAGGUGGGGGCCUGAGAGCCACCGGGCUGCGGUGCGCGAGUGUGGACACCGCCCCCGCCUUCUGCGUCUACAGCCCCGGGUUCCGGGACCUUUGG